UACGUAGGGGGCAAGCGUUGUCCGGAAUCAUUGGGCGUAAAGCGCGUGUAGGCGGCUCAGUAAGUCCGCUCUGAAAGCCUGGGGCUCAACCCCGGGUCGGCCGUGCGAACUGGGGGGCUUGAGCACUGUAGAGGCAGGCGGAAUUCCGGGUGUAGCGGUGGAAUGCGUAGAGAUCCGGAAGAACACCGGUGGCGAAGGCGGCCUGCUGGGCAGUUUAGCUGACACUGAGGCGCGACAGCGUGGGGAGCAAACAGG
rnacentral:rRNA from 1 species